rnacentral:rRNA from 1 species
GAGUAACACGUGGGUAACCUGCCCAUCAGAAGGGGAUAACACUUGGAAACAGGUGCUAAUACCGUAUAACAAUCGAAACCGCAUGGUUUUGAUUUGAAAGGCGCUUUCGGGUGUCGCUGAUGGAUGGACCCGCGGUGCAUUAGCUAGUUGGUGAGGUAACGGCUCACCAAGGCCACGAUGCAUAGCCGACCUGAGAGGGUGAUCGGCCACAUUGGGACUGAGACACGGCCCAAACUCCUACGGGAGGCAGCAGUAGGGAAUCUUCGGCAAUGGACGAAAGUCUGACCGAGCAACGCCGCGUGAGUGAAGAAGGUUUUCGGAUCGUAAAACUCUGUUGUUAGAGAAGAACAAGGAUGAGAGUAACUGUUCAUCCCUUGACGGUAUCUAACCAGAAAGCCACGGCUAACUACGUGCCAGCAGCCGCGGUAAUACGUAGGUGGCAAGCGUUGUCCGGAUUUAUUGGGCGUAAAGCGAGCGCAGGCGGUUUCUUAAGUCUGAUGUGAAAGCCCCCGGCUCAACCGGGGAGGGUCAUUGGAAACUGGGAGACUUGAGUGCAGAAGAGGAGAGUGGAAUUCCAUGUGUAGCGGUGAAAUGCGUAGAUAUAUGGAGGAACACCAGUGGCGAAGGCGGCUCUCUGGUCUGUAACUGACGCUGAGGCUCGAAAGCGUGGGGAGCAAACAGGAUUAGAUACCCUGGUAGUCCACGCCGUAAACGAUGAGUGCUAAGUGUUGGAGGGUUUCCGCCCUUCAGUGCUGCAGCUAACGCAUUAAGCACUCCGCCUGGGGAGUACGACCGCAAGGUUGAAACUCAAAGGAAUUGACGGGGGCCCGCACAAGCGGUGGAGCAUGUGGUUUAAUUCGAAGCAACGCGAAGAACCUUACCAGGUCUUGACAUCCUUUGACCACUCUAGAGAUAGAGCUUCCCCUUCGGGGGCAAAGUGACAGGUGGUGCAUGGUUGUCGUCAGCUCGUGUCGUGAGAUGUUGGGUUAAGUCCCGCAACGAGCGCAACCCUUAUUGUUAGUUGCCAUCAUUCAGUUGGGCACUCUAGCAAGACUGCCGGUGACAAACCGGAGGAAGGUGGGGAUGACGUCAAAUCAUCAUGCCCCUUAUGACCUGGGCUACACACGUGCUACAAUGGGAAGUACAACGAGUUGCGAAGUCGCGAGGCUAAGCUAAUCUCUUAAAGCUUCUCUCAGUUCGGAUUGCAGGCUGCAACUCGCCUGCAUGAAGCCGGAAU